rnacentral:rRNA from 1 species
GGUGGAUGCCCUGGCAGUCAGAGGCGAUGAAGGGCGUGCUAAUCUGCGAUAAGCGCCGGUAAGGUGAUAUGAACCGUUAUAACCGGCGAUACCCGAAUGGGGAAACCCAGUGUGACUCGUCACACUAUCAUUAACUGAAUCCAUAGGUUAAUGAGGCGAACCGGGGGAACUGAAACAUCUAAGUACCCCGAGGAAAAGAAAUCAACCGAGAUUCCCCCAGUAGCGGCGAGCGAACGGGGAGGAGCCCAGAGCCUGAAUCAGCAUGUGUGUUAGUGGAAGCGUCUGGAAAGGCGCGCGAUACAGGGUGACAGCCCCGUACACAAAAGCGCAUGUGCUGUGAGCUCGAUGAGUAGGGCGGGACACGUGGUAUCCUGUCUGAAUAUGGGGGGACCAUCCUCCAAGGCUAAAUACUCCUGACUGACCGAUAGUGAACCAGUACCGUGAGGGAAAGGCGAAAAGAACCCCGGCGAGGGGAGUGAAAAAGAACCUGAAACCGUGUACGUACAAGCAGUGGGAGCACCCUUUGGGUGUGACUGCGUACCUUUUGUAUAAUGGGUCAGCGACUUAUAUUCUGUAGCAAGGUUAACCGAAUAGGGGAGCCGGAGGGAAACCGAGUCUUAAUUGGGCGUUAAGUUGCAGGGUAUAGACCCGAAACCCGGUGAUCUAGCCAUGGGCAGGUUGAAGGUUGGGUAACACUAACUGGAGGACCGAACCGACUAAUGUUGAAAAAUUAGCGGAUGACCUGUGGCUGGGGGUGAAAGGCCAAUCAAACCGGGAGAUAGCUGGUUCUCCCCGAAAGCUAUUUAGGUAGCGCCUCGUGAAUUCAUCUCCGGGGGUAGA